AACAUUUCAGAAGCUCCGUGUAUUGUCCUUGAUACGUGAAAACUAGACAAUGCACAGUAAUAACACUGAUGAGCCGCGUCAGUGUAAAAUAGCCCAAACCUACCUUCUGUUUCAGGCGGCGUUGUGCUGGAUGGAGCUUGACUGCCCUCGUGUGUCCAAACUCAGGAACGGCAGUUUCCCUGAAGGGGUAUUCUGUUCCAAGUUUGUGGUAGUUAGCCAAGAAAUAUUACAUGAUUACUAUUACUCUCUCUCCCCUUUUUAAAACCUGUUCACGAUAAUUAUUGUAUACAUUACCUUUAUUUUUGUAAUCUUCUCCCCUAUUUGUGGAUAUUCUUGAGUGAAAUAGAUGAGGCCACGUAGGGAACACAUGAAGUUACCUAGGAGCAGAGUCUAAAAUAUCUUUUUGAGGGACCUCAAACUAUUAUCAUUUGCUAUACUAUUGAUCAUUACGUUAAGUACAUCUUAUUCGUAUAUGGAAAGUACUUAAUGAAGAUAAUAUACUUUAUAUUUUUUUAUGUAACCAUUCAAGUAUUUGUUGAAAUGCUUUUGUUACUGAUAAAUACAUGUACAUUUAAAUUGAUUUUGUUCUGUCUGUGAUUUUGUAGAUCUGGAUGUUCAGCUGGUCUCAGAUCAAGCAUCCUCCUCUGUACUGACUCCACUAUCCCCAGCUUCAUCCCAUUCAUCAGAUUCCACAAUUGUCCUGGAGUCCACAAGAAAGAAGAGGAACCCAACAGGGUUAAUGGAGCAGAAUGAAGCAAGACAGAAAGUUGAUUGUGUUCUGAGGGUCAAUCCAAAGGGUGAGGAAAUCUCCAAGGAGUAUGAAAAGACCAAAACACUAGCAGAUGUCACACAUAAACAGAUGGUGAACGCCCUGGUUGCAGACAUGUUAGAGCUACAUGGGAGGAUUCCAUCCUCAAGUGUGAGGACCAGUUAUGCACUGGGAAUUGUGACACUUUUUCCAUACCUCCAAGAUCCUUUCUCCAAACAUGGAUAUGAACACUACUAUGAUCCUUUAGGGUAAUACUGGCUUCAUUGCAUGGAGGAUCAAGACAGUUCAACAUAACACCUGUGCUGGCUCCCGGUGUCAUUCCAAGACUGUUCUUGAGGAUGGUCCAAAAACCAGACGAGAAUCUCUGUUAUUCUGUCAACAGCGAUUUGGUGAGGAGUGCAGGGAGGCGAUAUCUACAAUACGAUAUUCCACUGAUGAAUCUGUGGUCAAAGAGAAGAUGAGAGCGACUUUCCAGUAUCUGCAGAAGAUGGUCGGUGAGGAUGCAUCAUCUUCAGUCCUGGAUUUGUUCACUCGUUUCCUUGCUGUAUCUGGAUUGGUAAGAAAGUAUUUAGCUUUGGAAGUAGUUUUGAAAAGGAAAUGACCUUCUCUGUAGUUAUUAAAUGAGUUCACUGGUACAGCAGAGAAAGGAGCUGUUCAAUGAUCACCAUAACAACAACAGGCCGGUCCAA